AUUGAACGCUGGCGGCAUGCCUUACACAUGCAAGUCGAACGGUAACGGGCCUUCGGGUGCCGACGAGUGGCGAACGGGUGAGUAAUACAUCGGAACGUGCCCGAUCGUGGGGGAUAACGAGGCGAAAGCUUUGCUAAUACCGCAUACGAUCUACGGAUGAAAGCAGGGGAACGCAAGACCUUGCGCGGACGGAGCGGCCGAUGGCAGAUUAGGUAGUUGGUGGGAUAAAAGCUUACCAAGCCGACGAUCUGUAGCUGGUCUGAGAGGAUGAUCAGCCACACUGGGACUGAGACACGGCCCAGACUCCUACGGGAGGCAGCAGUGGGGAAUUUUGGACAAUGGGCGCAAGCCUGAUCCAGCCAUGCCGCGUGCAGGAUGAAGGCCUUCGGGUUGUAAACUGCUUUUGUACGGAACGAAAAGCCUUCUUUUAAUACAGGAGGGUCAUGACGGUACCGUAAGAAUAAGCACCGGCUAACUACGUG
rnacentral:rRNA from 1 species